rnacentral:misc_RNA from 1 species
AAAAGAUUCUCGAACCUUCUAAAGAGGUUGCUUUGCAACUACUGGAGUCUGGUCGCCAUAAUUUCCCGACAAGGAAACUGGGUCUAGAUAUGCUCCGACAGCUUUCUCUACAUCAUGAUUAUGUGUCUCUGCUCGUUCAAGAUGGAUAUUACCUUGAAGCAUUGCGCUACACACGGAAGUUUAAUGUUGACACAGUCCGGCCAGCCUUGUUUCUUCAAGCCGCUUUCGCGACCAACGACUCGCAACAUUUGUCAGCAGUUUUGAGAUUCCUGUCAGAUUCAACUCCUGGAUUCAAAGAUACCUCAGAUUACAGUAGGUACCAUCACAUUCUCACUGAAAUGAACUCUUGUGCUUCUGCUUGAGAUUUUUGAGAGCUAGUCGUUGUACGGAUUAAGCAGCAAAUGUCAAGGA